AUCUCGAUUAGUUCAAUGGUAGAAUGCGGGUAUGCCACGCCCGAGGCUGGGGUUCGAUUCCCCGUCGGGAUU